GAUGAACGCUGGCGGCGUGCCUAAUACAUGCAAGUCGAGCGAACGGACGAGAAGCUUGCUUCUCUGAUGUUAGCGGCGGACGGGUGAGUAACACGUGGAUAACCUACCUAUAAGACUGGGAUAACUUCGGGAAACCGGAGCUAAUACCGGAUAAUAUUUUGAACCGCAUGGUUCAAAAGUGAAAGACGGUCUUGCUGUCACUUACAGAUGGAUCCGCGCUGCAUUAGCUAGUUGGUAAGGUAACGGCUUACCAAGGCAACGAUGCAUAGCCGACCUGAGAGGGUGAUCGGCCACACUGGAACUGAGACACGGUCCAGACUCCUACGGGAGGCAGCAGUAGGGAAUCUUGCGCAAUGGGCGAAAGCCUGACGGAGCAACGCCGCGUGAGUGAUGAAGGUCUUCGGAUCGUAAAACUCUGUUAUUAGGGAAGAACAUAUGUGUAAGUAACUGUGCACAUCUUGACGGUACCUAAUCAGAAAGCCACGGCUAACUACGUG
rnacentral:rRNA from 1 species